UGGGGAAUAUUGCACAAUGGGCGCAAGCCUGAUGCAGCGACGCCGCGUGGGGGAUGACGGCCUUCGGGUUGUAAACCUCUUUCAGUAGGGACGAAGCGUGAGUGACGGUACCUAUAGAAGAAGCACCGGCCAACUACGUGCCAGCAGCCGCGGUAAUACGUAGGGUGCGAGCGUUGUCCGGAAUUACUGGGCGUAAAGAGCUCGUAGGUGGUUUGUCGCGUUGUUCGUGAAAACUCACAGCUUAACUGUGGGCGUGCGGGCGAUACGGGCAGACUGGAGUACUGCAGGGGAGACUGGAAUUCCUGGUGUAGCGGUGGAAUGCGCAGAUAUCAGGAGGAACACCGGUGGCGAAGGCGGGUCUCUGGGCAGUAACUGACGCUGAGGAGCGAAAGCGUGGGGAGCGAACAGGAUUAGAUACCCUGGUAGUCCACGCCGUAAACGGUGGGUACUAGGUGUGGGUUUCCUUCCUUGGGAUCCGUGCCGUAGCUAACGCAUUAAGUACCCCGCCUGGGGAGUACGGCCGCAAGGCUA
rnacentral:rRNA from 1 species